rnacentral:lncRNA from 1 species
GGGUGUCAGGAGUGGCGCUGUCCUGCAUCCGGCACCGUAGCGGGGUGGCUGCGAGGGGCGAGCGGACGCGCUGGUGCACCCUUCUGCACACUAGCUUCUUCGGGGCUCUGUUCCCUAAGUUGUCCGUCUGUUUGGCUAGGUGUAGUUGGCACAGGAAUGAGUGGGCCAUGGAAAGAAAAGGCGGGCAAGAUGGACCUGGAGCCCAGCAACAAGGAAGAAAACAGGCGACCUCCCAGAGCCUGGAGGGAUGCCAGACCCUUAGCAAGGACCCAGCAAACAUUUGAUGAAGAAAGGAUGGG